AAUAAGAGGAAUAUGAAAAAGGAUAAGUACUACAUAACCUACUAUAACGAAAUAGACAUGAAUAUGUUUACAACAAGAAAGUUUCCGCUUGGUUCCCUUUUUCUGGUAAUAAUUUUGUUUGUGUAGUGUUUUUUUAUAUGAUGCCUCAAGAGCAUGAUGUACGAAUAUAAUUUUUGCUUUUUAUGCUUCAGAUUAUACGAUGAUUCAUGCCUAACAGUUCAAGUUUCUGCAACGAUUGUGGCGCUGUCUGUUUAGCCUGUGGAUGAUCAUUUUCAAAGUCCUCACUUUUCAUGCCACACCAGAGCCAAAGCUCCGAGUGGAAGGAGAUGACUUCGAAGAGGUGGCUACUUUUGCAUUUACAGUUGGUUUCUGGGUAAUUCAGAGCUGACAUAUCAAAGAUGUAUCGGAUAAGUGGACAUCUAUGGGAUCAAGCAGAGGCUUACUACCGAUUGAGAGCACGAAGAGAUCAAUUGUUGUCCCGUUAGGUUCGACGACUUAAUUAUCGGACCUAAAGAUACCGAUAACGUGUCGCUGUUGCCACCGGAAACGGAAUCGUAGUUGAACGCAGACCCAUUUCCCUGUCUUUUUAAACAAAUUCCAACCAAUCUGCCACUGGCAAACCUGCUGAGAGCGUGGUUUAUGUUCAUUUGUCUGUCUUUUUACAUGGCUCAAAUCUGCUCAAUCCAUUGCAGCUCGUCACACAUUUGACUCAAUCCCAACUAUGAUCCCAACCUAAAAACUAUAUGAUGCAAACCCCCGCAAUAGAAAAGAAGCGUCAACAAUCAAAAUAAAGACUUGUUUGUAAUCAUUUCUGUGAAUCACCAAACACUGCAUCGAGAAGUCACCUCCUUGGUCGGCAUAAAGAGAAUAUGUACUUCCUGGAGGCGUCAAGUUUCUUGGUUGCAUGAAGAUUGAUCAAGCGCAAUUGUUUUGCAAUGAACCCAUCAUCAUCAUCAUCAUCAGGCUAGGUCGGAAGGAGUCAGAUUCCGAAUGAAUUUAACAUUCCACGGUCAUGAGCACUGAUCUGCACCUUCGAGGCGAUUUGAGAGGGAUGCAUUGGAUGAUCACGACUUUCGUCAUCUUACUUAAUAAAGCUACUACUACUUGCAUCUUCCUUGUUGUUAGGUACCGGACUACUACUUUGCUGUAAAGGAUGUGCAAAACAUGCAAAUAGAAUGCAAUUUAUCGU